GACGAACGCUGGCGGCGUGCUUAACACAUGCAAGUCGAACGGUGAACCUCUUCGGAGGGGAUCAGUGCCGAACGGGUGAGUAACACGUGGGCAACCUGCCCCCGGCUCUGGGAUAACUCCAAGAAAUUGGGGCUAAUACCGGAUGUUCACCGCUUCCCGCAUGGGUGGUGGUGGAAAGGGUUUCCGGCUGGGGAUGGGCCCGCGGCCUAUCAGCUUGUUGGUGGGGUAGUGGCCUACCAAGGCGACGACGGGUAGCCGGCCUGAGAGGGUGACCGGCCACACUGGGACUGAGACACGGCCCAGACUCCUACGGGAGGCAGCAGUGGGGAAUAUUGCGCAAUGGGCGGAAGCCUGACGCAGCGACGCCGCGUGGGGGAUGACGGCCUUCGGGUUGUAAACCUCUUUCAGCAGGGACGAAGCGCAAGUGACGGUACCUGCAGAAGAAGCACCGGCCAACUACGUG
rnacentral:rRNA from 1 species